rnacentral:rRNA from 1 species
AAGGUCUAACCUGCCCAAUGAAUUAAUUGAAUGGCCGCGGUAUUUUAACUGUGCUAAGGUAGCAUAAUCAUUUGUCUUUUAAUUAAAGGCUAGAAUGAAUGGUUGGACGAGGUAUAAACUUUCUUUAACUUAAUUGUUGAAUUUAAUUUUUCAGUCAAAAAGCUGAGAUGUGUUUGUGGGACGAGAAGACCCUAUAGAUCUUUAUAUGUGUGUGUAUCAUUUAUUAUGGCGAAUAAAUACUUUUGAUAAAAAUAUGUAUUUGGUUGGGGCGACUGUGGAAUAAAAAUAACUUCUAUUAUCUAUUUUUCAUUAAUUAAUGUGUAAUUGAUCCAUUUAUAGUGAUUAUAAGAUUAAGUUACCUUAGGGAUAACAGCGUAAUUUCUUUGGAGAGUUCUUAUCGAUAAAGAAGUUUGCGACCUCGAUGUUGGAUUAAAAUAAGUAAUAGGCGCAGAAGCUUAUUAACUGGGUCU